rnacentral:lncRNA from 1 species
AUGAACCUAGACAUUCCACCAUACUUUGUCUUGGUCAGUGAUUUGACAUCUAAGAUGAUGCCUUCCCUGGAAGACAUGACAGGAGCAGGCUCCCUAGCACCUUGUAUCUUCUACCCUUUGGGACAGGCAAAGCAGCUUAAUCUCUGAGGUUUGGCUAGAAGUGCUAUAUUUCAUUUCUAUCUGCAUGCUAUUGAUCAGAAUGUAGAUGCAUCUGUACACAUGAGGUAGGAUGCAACACAUGGUCACUAGGUUGGUGGUCCUUUCCCGACAGAACAUGUAGGGACUCUAUUUACUAAAGUUAAUAGGACAGUUAGCAGUUCCUGUCAAUAUCAUUUCAUAUAGUACAAAAGUUCUAUUGGACUAAGAGCUAAGACAAUGGGAAUAUAUCUUGAUUUAGUUCAAAGUAAUCAUGAGACCUUGAGUGUCUGAGCUUCACAGUUCUACUUUUUGUAGAUUUUGCUGCCUUCUCUGUUCUUCUCUCUCUCCCUCCCUCCCUCCUUUCCUUCUUUCUUGCUUUAUUUCAAUUUUUUUUUUAUAUUUAUCUGAAAGACAUAGUAAAAAGAGAAAGCAGGAGAGACAGAGUUAUCUUCCUGGAUAGAAAAAUGAAACAAAAGAGAAACACCAGAAAUCAGUCCAACCAUCUACAACCAAGUUAUAUUUGACAAAGGAGCUUAAACCAUUCCCUAAAACAAAGACAGUCUCUUCAACAAAUGAUGCUGGGAAAACUGGAUUUCUACAUGCAGAAAUAUGAAGCAAGACCCAUACCUUACACUUUACACAAAAAUCCACUCAAAAUGGAUUAAAGACCUAAAUCUAUGACCCAAUACCAUCAAAUUACUAGACAGCAUUGAGAAAACCCUUCAAGACAUUGGCCUAGGCACAGAGUUUCUGGAAAUUACCCCAGAGGCGCAAGCAAUAAAAGCUAAGAUUAACAAGUGGGAUUGCA